ACUCACACCCUGGCUUAUUUUGCAAGAUAGUCUCUAUGUAACAAAGCCAUAAUAGAAUGCUGUGGCUACCCAUCUCUACCUUCAGCCCUCCUAUAGAGAUCUAUAUGUGUACAGUUGUUGUAAACAUUUAAUAGAAGUGAAUUUAUGUGGAGUUUCAGGUGGGCUGAUUAAUACUGUCCAAUGACAAUGCCCAUUAGCCUACUGCACAACUACUUAGUCUGCCUAAAGUACCAUUUGUAUGCAGCUACUUCUGAUUUAGGAGGCAGUCUGUGUAGAAUAAUGCAGUAUACCCGAGAGGACCAUUUACAGGAACGACUUGUGUGAUCCCCCAGCAUCAUCUUGGCUGCCCAAUCUGGAGGUAGCUGUUCCACAUGGGUCAUGAGUAGUGCAUGCCAGCUGUUAAGUCACAGGCUUGUAGAGUUUUGUAAUGUUUACACUACUGAUCGUCCAACUAAUCUGACAUCAUUGGGAGCACGAGAUGGUUGAAAGGCAGUACAUUACAGUGUCUUCUUACCUGGCUACUCCUGGAAGCAAGAAUGUGAGGAGAUGUCAAGAAUAUGAGAGAGAACUCAGUAUCUUCCCAGCAUUCAUCUUAUUAUGUAUAUGCCUGUGGAAGAAAAGAAUUAGAGGCUUCAGCUGAGCUCUAUAUAUAGCAGAAUAUGGUUUUUAUCACAAAGCCAACAUAUGUGAGCCUUCGAAGUGAACGGGACAGUUAUGUCAGAGACCAAAUAGGCCUGGUUUUCUUAUGAGAGUUCAGCUAUUAUGCUGGAUUCUAGUUUCUGUAAUCCAACAUCAAAUAAAUUAUCAUUUCUGAA